rnacentral:rRNA from 1 species
GACAGAGGUCCCGAGCGUUAGGCGGAAUCACUGGGCUUAAAGCGUGUGUAGGCGGAUCGUUAAGUACCUUGUGAAAUCCCACAGCUUAACUGUGGAACUGCUUGGUAUACUGCCAGUCUUGAGCCACUUAGGGGCUACCGGAACAAAUGGUGGAGCGGUGAAAUGCGUAGAUAUCAUUUGGAACGCCAAUGGUGAAAACAGGUAGCUGGGAGUGUGCUGACGCUGAGACACGAAAGCCAGGGGAGCAAACGGG